UACAGAGGUCCCAAGCGUUGUUCGGAUUCAUUGGGCGUAAAGGGUGCGUAGGUGGCGCCGUAAGUCGGGUGUGAAAUUUCGGAGCUUAACUCCGAAACUGCAUCCGAUACUGCCGUGCUUGAGGACUGGAGAGGAGACUGGAAUUUACGGUGUAGCGGUGAAAUGCGCAGAUAUCGGGAGGAACACCCGUAGCGAAGGCGGCACUCUGGGCCGGUACUGACGCUGAGGAGCGAAAGCGUGGGGAGCAAACAGG
rnacentral:rRNA from 1 species